rnacentral:rRNA from 1 species
CAAGCGAAAGCAUUAAGUAUUCCACCUGGGGAGUACGCCGGCAACGGUGAAACUCAAAGGAAUUGACGGGGGCCCGCACAAGCGGAGGAACAUGUGGUUUAAUUCGAUGAUACGCGAGGAACCUUACCCGGGCUUAAAUUGCACCUGAAUAAUGUGGAAACAUGUUAGCCGUAAGGCAGGUGUGAAGGUGCUGCAUGGUUGUCGUCAGCUCGUGCCGUGAGGUGUCGGCUUAAGUGCCAUAACGAGCGCAACCCUUAUCUUCAGUUACUAACAGGUCAUGCUGAGGACUCUGGAGAGACUGCCGUCGUAAGAUGUGAGGAAGGUGGGGAUGACGUCAAAUCAGCACGGCCCUUACGUCCGGGGCUACACACGUGUUACAAUGGGAGGUACAGAAGGCCGCUACCUGGCGACAGGAUGCCAAUCCCCAAAACCUCUCUCAGUUCGGAUCGAAGUCUGCAACCCGACUUCGUGAAGCUGGAUUCGCUAGUAAUCGCGCAUCAGCCAUGGCGCGGUGAAUACGUUCCCGGGCCUUGUACUCACCGCCCGUC